CCGGGGAGUUAAUUAGUUCUCCCUUGAUGGGAAUUAGGGUUCUUUCUCUUGGGAAUUAGAGUUUCAUUUGUUUUGGCGUCUAGGGUUCCUUCUGAGGUUGUUGUUAUUCCUGACGAGGCUUGUUCUGAGGAUUUGAGUGAAGUUUAGCUAUGUAUUGCGGGAAAGCUAUGGAUUGAAUGUCCUUACAAUAAGUUUGAUCUUAUGGAUUUGAUGCAAAGGGUUUGGAAACCCAAACAUGGAGUUGUGAUGAGAGAGUGGAGUAAGGAGGUCCUGUUAUUCCAAUUCCAGCAUUGGCAGGAUCUGCAAUACGUACUAGUUUCACCUUGGCACUUUGAAAAGCAGAUUCUUGUUGUAAAACAAGUCACAGAUGAUGUGGACACUUAUACAAACAAUGUGAGUUACUGUCAGAUAGGAGGGAGGUUGAUCAGUUUGCUCUUGCUUUUGAUGAAGGAAUUAGGGCGUCUCCUUUUAGAAAAUCAGUAAGGCUAGCGACGGGUUUUGAAGGUUCUAAUUUUGUCACUCGCUAGUUGUUUCCCAAACCAACAUAAGGCAAAGUGGAUAAGCAUAUUCCAGCCGCACUAAAUAUUGACGUUUUAGGGAAUUAAGAGUGAAGUGAGAAUCAGGAGGCUCUUCUGAGUGCUACAGCGGCGGACACUGAUGAAGUAUUAAACAUGCUUGAGCAAAUGCAUGUUAGAACUGCGUUGCGCCAGGAUAGUUCAGGUACUGAUGAAGAUGAGUUUACCAGGUUGAUGGGGGGUACUAUUUUGACACAUGAUUCUGACCCGAUCUUGCAAGCUCAAAUUCCUUCGAUCCAGGUAACUAAAAAUAAAAGCCCCAAUUCAGCUGUGAACCUUCCCAUUCUAAAAAAUACUGCCACUGCCACCUCUGUCCCCAUAAAUUCUCCGGAUAAAAUAAAUUCCAAUAACCACAACUCCUGCACUGAACUAGGUUUUUACCAUGUUCCUAUUAUUCUCGAUUCCCCACCUGAUCAAUCCGUCCUCCUUGGACCCUUGCUUUGCUGCUAAUCUGGUUAAACCAUAUAAUUCCAUUUUUCUCCUCUUAAACCCGAUUUAGGCCCACCUUCUCAAAACAAAACUCCACCAAAAAUCUUGUGGAAACGUAUGGCCCGAAUAAAUCAAAUAUCGAUUUCCCCGUCAGACUUAGUGUUAGUUGGUGAGAGACGAAAAAGUGUUAUUCAGGGUGUUGCGCAACAGUUCGGUCAGGAGAUGGAUAUGGGUUUAAAGAAAUUAAAAAAAGAACAGGGGUAUUGUGAUUGUUGAUUUUGAUAAUUUAUCGGCGGAGGCAUUCGCAAUAAGUCUUUUACUAUGGAACUUUAGAGGGCUUAGGAACCAGGAUGCAAUUUGUCAAUUGAAGAAGGUUUGGGAUUAGCGUUCCGUGUGAUGAAAGGCUUGGUAGGAAAGGAGUUUUGGCUCUGUUCUGGUCUGAUUUUUUUCGAGUUAAGCUGUUGUCAUACUCGGAUCACCAUAUUGAUAUUGAGAUUGAUGAUACAUGGCAUUUUACGGGUUUUUAUGCUUAGUCUGACGAAUCGAAUAAGCACUUGUCUUAGGAUUUAUUGCGUCGAUUGGUAGGGAAUUAUGGUUUACCGUGGUUGUGCGGGGGAGACUUUAAUGAGAUUCUCUAUAACUAUGAAAAGAAAGGAGGGAACUCUCGUCCUCAAGCUAAAAUGGAUGCUUUUCAUUCUGUUUUGGACAGUAGCGGGUUAGGCGAUCUGAGUUACCAAGGGUAUAACUUCACUUGGUCGAAUGGUCAAGAAGGAGAAUCUCGCGGUUGAAGUGCGACUUGAUAGGAUCACAGCCUCCAUGACGUGGGUUAGUCUCUUUCUUGAGUACGCUAUAUCUCACUUAUUUCGUUUUUGCUCAGACCAUUGUCCCAUUUUCAUAUCUCUCUUGAAAUCGGCUGUUACUAAUUGUCGAAGAUGUAGACCUUUUAGAUUUGAAUCCAUAUGGUUGAGAGAUAGUACUUAUAGGGAGGUAGUACAACAAGCGCGGGAGGGUUCAGAGGAUUUUGGGUUUCGGGUUUCCAUUGAAGAUAAAUUUAAGAGAUGUAGUGUAGCUUUGAGAAAAUGGGAAAAAAAAAUUCAUUUUGGGCGUGUUUCAAAAGAAAUUUCGGAUUGUCAGAAGAAUCUCCAUGAGUUGCAGGUAGGAGUUCAGUGUAGAGAAAAUAUAGCUCUCUAAAAGAUUCCGGAAUCAAAUUUAAAAGAACUUUUAGCUAGGGAGGAGCUUAUGUGGCUUCAACGUUCUAGAAUUAAUUGGUUAAGGGAGGGGGAUAGAAAUACAACUUUUUUCCACCAGAAAGCUGAUGGUAGACAAAAAAGAAAUCAAGUUGUUAGCAUUCAAGAUGAAACGGGUCGACUUGUUGAUAAUGAAGAUGGCGUUCGUUUGGUUUUUUACAGAUAUUUUUGAGACUUAUUCACAUCUUCUAAUCCAUCUGCCUAUGAUAAUGUGUUGAAUUCAGUAGAGCCAAAGGUUUCUAUGGAUAUGAAUGUUGAUCUAUGCCGACCUUACAGUAAAGAGGAAAUUGUUGCGACUUUGCGUCAAAUGCAACCUUCCAAGGCUCCUAGGCCUGACGGUAUGCCUCCUCUAUUUUUUCAAAAAUUUUGGUCUAUUAUUUGAUCUUCUAUUGUGGAAAAAGUCUUGUCUGUUUUAAAUAAUGGUGAAUCUCCUGCAUUUAUAAAUCGAACCUUUAUUUUUUUGAUUCCUAAAGUAAAUGAUCCUUCUCUUACUUCUCAAUUUCGUCCUGUUAGUUUAUACAAUGUAUUUUUAAACUUAUUACCAAGGUCAUAGCUAAUAGGGUGAAAUUCAUUCUUUCGUAGGUUAUUAGUUAGUCUCAAUAUGCUUUUGUGCUUGGUCGUUUAAUUACUGAUAAUGCCUGAUAGCCUUUGAAAUUUUCCAUUAUACGAAGAAUAAAUCUAGUGGGCGAAAAUGCUUUUUUGCAUGUAAGCUUGAUAUGAACAAGGCUUAUGAUAGGGUAGAGUGGUGUUUUUUAAGAGAUCUGAUGCUAAAAAUGGGAUUUGUGAGUAGUUGGGUGGAUCUUGUGAUGAGAUGUGUUUCAACUGUUUCGUAUUCUAUUCUUAUUAAUGGAGAGCUUCACAAUUAUUUUUCUCCUAAUUGAGGGUUUAGACAAAGAGAUCCCCUCUCUCCAUAUCUAUUUCUUUUCUGUGCAGAAGCUUUUUCCAGUUUAAUCAGGCAAGCAGAAGUUAAUCGGCUAAUCCAUGGCGUGAAGAUCUGUCCAACAGCUCUAGCAAUUUCUCAUUUGUUUUUUUGCAGAUGACAAUAUUAUUUUUGGUAGAGCAAGUGUCGGAAGCGAAUGUAUUAAAGAAAAUUUUGGAGAUUUAUGAGAAGGCUUCCGGUUAGAAGAUAAAUCUGGAGAAAUCUGAAAUUUCAUUUAGUAAAAAUAUUUUCAUGGUGUCGCAAGAGGUGAUCUCCAAUUUGUUGGGAGUUAGAAGCAUAUCUGGCCACAGCAGGUAUCUAGGUUUACCAGCAAUUAUAGGGAGAAAAAAGAAGCAAGUGUUUAGCACCCUUGUUGAUAGGGUAGCCAAAAAACUAAAGAGAUGGAAGGAAUUAUUUCUCUCAAGAGCUGGUAAGGAAGUCUUGUUAAAGUCAGUGGUGCAAGCAAUCCCUAAUUACACUAUGUCCUGUUUUCUCUUACCAAAGGAUAUUUGUGCUAAAAUUGAAUCUUUAAUGGAUAAUUUUUAGUGGGGUCAGCGAAAAGAUGAGCGUCGUAUUCACUGGACUAGUUGGCAUUAACUAUGUUUAUCCAAGUUUUGGGGAGGUCUUGGGUUUAAGGAUCUGCACUCUUUUAAUCUGGCUAUGUUGGCUAAACAAUGUUGAAGAUUUUUAAACAAUGAUGAGUCGUUAGUUUUUAAAUUUUUUAGGGCCAAAUAUUUUCCUAACUGCUCUUUUUUGGAAGCACAGCCGGGUUAUCAACCUAGCUUCACUUGGAGAAUCAUUAUGGAAGCCAGAUGGAUCAUAGAAGAAGGGAGUAGAAGGGUCAUUGGUAAUGGUGUGAGUAUUCCCAUUUGGCGUGAUACAUGGGUUCCUGGUUUGCAUGAUUUUAGAAUCUCUUCUCAGCCAAAUCUGUUGGACGAGAAUGCAACUGUGAAUAAUUUAAUUGGUUUCAACACAGGGUGCUGGAAUGGGGAUCUUAUGGUAUCUUUGUUCUCAGAGGAGGAGGCCAAAUGUAUUGUGUGAAUACCUUUGUGUCUUCGUAGAGGAAUGGAUGUGCUCAAUUAGGUUCAUCACAAAUUAGGCCUUUUCAAUGCGAAGUCAGCUUAUAUGGCUGCGUUUAAUUCCGUAGUUUCGUCUAUAAUGUCCAGCUCUUCUCAGUGGAGUGAAGUCCCUUAUUAGAAACUCCUUUGGAACCUUCAUUUCCCCCCAAAGUUGAAGCACUUUUUUUUAUAGAGUCUGUUCCAGAAAGCUCCCUACUAAAUUAGCUUUACUUCAGCGAACUAUCCCAGUUGACCCUAUUUGUAGUGUUUGUGGAGAGGAAAAUGAGUCUGUGGAGCAUAUUCUCCUUCACUGCCCUGUGGCUCAAAGGGCUUGGAUGCUAAGUCCUCUUCGGCUUUCUAUCCGCUCAGAUGAGUCGUUAUUCAAGUCUUCGUUCUUUAAUCUCGUUGAUUCCUUUCAAUCGGAGCAGUUGGAGGUUGUGGUUGCUAUAGCCUGGAGUAUUUGGAAAUCGCAAAAUGCUUAGGUUGUUCUAGAAUAGUCAGCUUUCUAACCCUUUUAUAGUCAAUCAAGCACUAUCUAUGAUCCAUGACUUUCAAUCUUCAGGUAUGAAUUCUGUUUCUCCCCCAACUGCAGGUUUAGUACAGAAAUGGUCUCCCCUGAUUGGUACUUGUGUAAAAAUUAAUUGUGAUGCUGGUGUGUUGAAGGACUGAAAUUGUUGUGACAUUAGUUUUGUUAUUCGUAAUGAGAGAGGGGAAUUGAUGGCAACGAGGUUGACACAACUUGAUUGUGUCUUAGAGGUUCAGGAUGUUGAUGCAGACGCUGCCAUUUUUGCUCUAGAGUCAGCUCUUGCUCUAUCUUUCUCACAAAUUACUUUAGAAUCGGAUUGCCUUCUACUUCUUCGACAAUAUGCCUCAAAGAAGUUUCCCCCAGCUGAAUGGGGUACCAGAUUGAGUAGAAUUGCUGAUUUAGCUUCUCAUUUCCAAUUAUUUUCCUUUAAUUAUAUUCCUAGACAUUAUAAUCAGGUGGCCCAUAAGUUAAUGUCUUUGGCUUUAUCGGUUUAUUCUUCUGAGCACAUUUGGAUUGAAGAUGGUCCUAGUGCCAUUGUUCAUAUUAUUCAAGGUGACAUUUCAGCUUCUUUA